UUCUUCUUUUUUAUUCUUCUCUCUUCUCUUUCUUCCUUCUUCUUUCUUCUUACUUCUUCUUCUUUCUUUCCUCGUCUCUUCUGUCUCUCUUCUUCUUCUUGAAAAAUAGCAACCUGUAAAGUGCUUCUCCCUGCUCUCUUCCCAGAAUCUGAAUCAAACUCGGCCUUGGAUCUCUCUUUUACUUCAAAGGUUGCUUCUUCCUUCACCACAAUCACUCUUCCAUCACUGUGUGUGGUAUGGAGACUGGAGAGACAGAAGAAGAAGGGAUCGGUGGGUCGAAAAGUUCUUAGGAGAAAACAGAAGAAGAAGGGAUCGGUGAUGUACUGGUGACUUGUUUGUGGGCUAAUGUCAAACUCGGUUACAAGCCCAACCGUACCGAACCGACCGAUUAAAUCGGUAUACCGACUUCUCGGUAUACCGGAUUUUGUGGCCGGUAGUGGUAUAGUUUUUUGCAUACCAGUAUAAGUUGGUACGGUACAUGGUAUCGGCUCGUAAGCUUCGGUACCGAACCGAACCCAGCCCUAACCAAAAGGGUUAUCCUCUCUGUUCAUUCUUCUCGGUAGCCGCACACUAAUAUAUACUCUCCCCAGAUCCAUUUUCUCCUUCUUCCUCUGAACAGCCGCAACCACACCCCAGACCCAAAUUCUCUCUCUCACCUCAAUUUUUCCAACAGUGCCGAACCCAUCUCCAUCCUCUCCUCUUCUCCAAAACACCACACCACCAUACCCACUUUAUAUUUUCUUUUAAUCUUCACUACUCCAUAUCAAUUCCUCAUCAAUUUCUCAAGAGAUUUCAAGGAGCAUCAAUAUUUGAGAUUGGGUAAAAGUGAAAAAUCAUAAAUCAAGGCUUGUCAUAAUUGCUCCAUAGCAAUUUGUGACUUGUUCUUGUGACUUCUCACUCCUCUUCACUUUUAUCUCUUUAUUUGAUGUAUUUUGUUGUUGAUUUGUGGAUGGGUUGUGAGUAGUCUAUUUAGGAAGCUAGGGUUUGAGCCCUAGCAUGGAUUUAAUAUGCAUGCUUAGGAGCUUGAUUAACUCUUGA
rnacentral:lncRNA from 1 species